AGAGUUUGAUCCUGGCUCAGAGCGAACGCUGGCGGCAGGCCUAACACAUGCAAGUCGAGCGGCCGUAGCAAUACGGCAGCGGCAGACGGGAGAGUAACACGUGGGAACGUACCCUUCAGUUCGGAACAACCCAGGGAAACUUGGGCUAAUACCGGAUACGUCCGUAAGGGGAAAGAUUUAUCGCUGAAGGAUCGGCCCGCGUCUGAUUAGCUAGUUGGUGAGGUAACGGCUCACCAAGGCGACGAUCAGUAGCUGGUCUGAGAGGAUGAUCAGCCUCACUGGGACUGAGACACGGCCCAGACUCCUACGGGAGGCAGCAGUGGGGAAUAUUGGACAAUGGGCGCAAGCCUGAUCCAGCCAUGCCGCGUGGAUGAUGAAGGCCUUAGGGUUGUAAAAUCCUUUCGACGGGGAAGAUAAUGACGGUACCCGUAGAAGAAGCCCCGGCUAACUUCGUGCCAGCCGCCGCGGUAAUUC
rnacentral:rRNA from 2 species